AUUGAACGCUGGCGGCAUGCCUUACACAUGCAAGUCGAACGGUAACAGGUCUUCGGAUGCUGACGAGUGGCGAACGGGUGAGUAAUGCAUCGGAACGUGCCCAGUAGUGGGGGAUAGCCCGGCGAAAGCCGGAUUAAUACCGCAUACGACCUGAGGGUGAAAGGGGGGGAUCGCAAGACCUCUCGCUAUUGGAGCGGCCGAUGUCAGAUUAGCUAGUUGGUGGGGUAAAGGCCUACCAAGGCAACGAUCUGUAGUUGGUCUGAGAGGACGACCAGCCACACUGGGACUGAGACACGGCCCAGACUCCUACGGGAGGCAGCAGUGGGGAAUUUUGGACAAUGGGCGCAAGCCUGAUCCAGCAAUGCCGCGUGCGGGAAGAAGGCCUUCGGGUUGUAAACUGCUUUUGUCAGGGAAGAAAUCUUCUGGGUUAAUACCUCGGGAGGAUGACGGUACCUGAAGAAUAAGCACCGGCUAACUACGUGCCAGCCGCCGCAGUAACAC
rnacentral:rRNA from 1 species